rnacentral:lncRNA from 1 species
CCAGUUGACGACUGCUUAGCAACAGCUUCAGCUGAUAAAACUGCCAAACUAUGGAAGACCGAUGGGUCACUCUUAUUGUCCUUUGAUGGUCACCUCGAUCGGCUUGCUCGCCUUGCUUUUCAUCCAUCUGGAGGGUACCUUGCUACAGCUAGCUUUGACAAAACCUGGAGAUUGUGGGACGUUAGCACUGGAAAGGAACUUCUACUCCAAGAAGGGCACAGCAGAAGUGUCUAUGGAGUUAGCUUUCACCCAGAUGGUUCUUUAGCUGCAUCUUGUGGUCUUGAUGCGUAUGCUCGAGUUUGGGAUUUAAGAUCAGGAAGAUUGUGGGGCACACUCAUGGGACAUGUGAAGCCUGUAAGUUCAUAGCAUCAAUUUUCCAAUCUUUUUCUAAAGUACUGUACCAUUCAUUUCAAGCUGUUACGGCUCUUUAUUGCUUGGUUUGUGGUUACAUUUAUUUAGUUGUGGACAUGCUAUUGCUUUUUUAUAUUGUAACAUGAUUUUACUUUCUUUUCAGGUCUUAGGAGUGAGCUUCUCCCCUAAUGGUUAUCUGGUUGCAACUGGAAGUGAAGACAAUUUCUGUCGAAUAUGGGAUUUGAGGACUAAAAGAAUGUUAUAUUCUAUACCAGCACAUAAGAGUCUUAUCUCACAUGUCAAGUUUGAACCCCAGGAAGGCUAUUAUUUGGCAACUUCGUCCUAUGACACCAAAGCAGCAGUAUGCCUAAUAAUAAUGCGCCAUUUAUUUUAUUUCUUUUAUUGUCUCAUUUCUGAUAUUCUUCCUUCCUUUUGCAGCUGUGGUCAGCUCGUGAUUACAAACCAAUCAAGAGUUUGGUGGCCCAUGAGUCAAAGGUUACUAGUUUGGAUAUUAGUGGAGGUAACCACUUGCUUAAGUGCCUUUUAUCUUUGCUGUAUGUGAAAUUAUAUUUGGAUAUCCUUUUCUUGUGAGAAUUGAGAUCAAUAGUUUUAGCCCUUUUUAUCUGUCCAUUCCUCAUAUCAAGUUGGACAUCCACCAUUUGGUUAUGCUAAAACAAAUUCCCAUGUAUAGUGCACUUGGAUUUUCUUAGCCAAUAUCAACACUCUCAUCUCUGAACUAACUGCAGUUGUUAGAGCAGUGAUGCUGCUAAAAACGGUUCAAACCAAACCUAUUUGUCUGUAUUACUUUUAGAACCUUAUAGAUCUAUGCUAUUCUAUGGUGCACUUUCAUCGUAUAAAAUUGCAUAUCAUGCAUUUCCCACCAUUUGUUUGUUUGUCCUUAAUGGCAUACCCAUCUUGUUUCUUUAAUCCUUUGUUGAAAAUGGUAUCUGCCAGUUGUACGUUCUGAUUGUUCUUUCCAUCUCUAUUCUCCCUCAACUUGUUUCUUGCAAAAUGUAUCAGCUUUUGAUCCUUAUUCCUAACAGAUGCCCUAGUAAACUCUAGGGAUCGGUACAUUAGGUGGCGUUGUUGUCUCAUUCUUCAUUUUCCUUUUCAAGAUUGUGCCGUAUUAUCAUGCCAUCCACUUGCCACAAGAUUCAAACAUGUCAUAUCUGAAUUUCUAAUUGGUGGUUUGUGUAAAUCUUGUGCAGAUGGACAGCAGAUUGUGACUGUGUCACAUGAUAGAACGAUCAAGAUUUGGUCCUGCAGAAGCAGGGCACAAGAUAAUGCCAUGGAGCUGGACUGAGGCACUGAAUUAACUUGUUAGAAGUUGUCAGCAUCUACAUGAAGCCAUCUUGUAGUUGUAGCACCUCAUAGCCCUUAGCCUGUGAAAUGUUUCAUAUGUAACUCUUCUACUUGACGUUGUAGAAAAUUUACGAUCGAACGGCUUAGGGGCGAUUACCCCUGUCCUGGGUUUGCAUCCCUGGUUUUGAAGUUACAAUGGCAUGGAUCUAAUUAACCCUAGUUUUUUUUUAUGCCAGUAUUGCUUCACAUCAGGACGUAGGUUAUACAUUCCCACACUUGUGGAAUCAAUCCUUGGAAUUGCAACAGGCUAGAUGCAUUUACGUUCUAAUCAAGAUAAUAAUCUCACAAGGUCUUUACGUUAACCACUCUUAACAAUUCCGACUAGCAAUACUCAACUAGUCAUGUAUGGUCAAGCAAUAUAAUUCUGAUAAUAUAUUUUGGAUGGAUGUGACUAGAUUUAUUAUACUAGUUAUGUAACAUCCAUCCAAAAUCUCUUAUAUUGUGUUCAUCAUCUGAUUUCAUAACGGUGGCGGCAGCAAUAUAAAACCUAAAGAGUCAGCUUGCAAAACAGCAAGACGGCACGAAGAAUACGAUCCCUACCCUACCAAGUAAGCAGCAGCCUGGCAAAAUGAAGUCUGCUCCAGCAUCACGAGCCGUCCACUGUUGUCAAGCAAAAUAAACUAGAAGUUAGAAGGAUGGCAAUUUCAUGCUAGCUGCUUUUAUUCCUCAGAGCAAUUUAAAUGGCACAACUAGCAGUACAAUACUAAUUAACAACAAAUCAGUAAGUAUAGGUCACACCAAUUGAAGCUAAAUUAAUCAUCUCAUCUACAGAAGCUUAUUCCUCAGAGUAUCUUAAAUGGCACAACUAGCAAUAUAGUUAUAAUAAUUAACAAACAAAUGAGAGUAUGGGUCACACCAGUUGAAGCUAAAUUAAUCAUCUAUCCUUAUUCUUCAGAGUAUCUUAAAUGGCAGUGUGGCACAACUAGCAGUAUAUUUAUAACAAUUAACAACAAAUCAGUAAAGCAUGGAUCACAGCAGUUGAAGCUAAAUAAAUCAUCAUCUCAUCGACAGACUGCAGAAGCUUAUAGCGGUAGAAUUACCUGACCUCAUCAUCUCAUCGACAGACUGCAGAAGCUUAUAGCGGUAGAAUUACCUGACAAAGAUGUCACUACGGUAAUGACGACCUCCUCCUCUUGGUUGCAAUUGGGCGUCCCUGUGUCUUGGCUGGAACAGACUCAGCAGCAAUAGGGCGAAGAGACAGAUUCUGAAGGUCUUUGGAAAGAUCCAAACCCAAAGGAGGAACAAUGUCAUCAGGGCAGGAUGAGAGGGUCAAGGACGAGAGGAGCUUCUUGCUGUGCAUGUUAAGGCUGACCAUGUACAGCUCUGCAUCGGCAUCGUUGAGCAUGAAACUAAGGACACCAUCUUCCUGAGGGUUCAGGACAGGGCUAAUUGGUAUGGCCUUGGGCAACCUCGCCUUGUCGAAGCCCUCCAGCUCCCACAGAUCUGCCACCAUGAGUUGUGCAUCUUUCAGCCACUCCCCGGUUGCGAGGGUCAGUGUCCACAUCGUUAUCGCACGAUCGCCGGUGUGCGCAGAGCUGGAUCCGCCGUCACUGAUGCAGACGAACUUGAUAGAGUCACCGCAGCCGUCGACACAGCUCAUUGUGCGGCAUAGCUGGAGGUCACCCCUCAUGGCGAAACUGAUUUUAAGAUGGCACUCUACAGGCAGCGGGAUGUAGCGGAAUUGCACGGCAUCAUCAUUGCGGCCGGAGAGAGCAUCGUCGCACCUACAGAAGAGGACGCCCUUUGCGAGGUCGGCCCAGAACGCGUGGCCUCCGAACGAGAACACCUUGUCACCGUGGAAGGAACCCGGCAUCUGUGAUGGGAAGAUGGCGUCCUUGAAUUGCCAUGGCGUGAUGCCCCCCCUGGAACUUGAGGAUGAUGAUGGCCGCGGUGGGCACAGGCAGAGAACAUCCCGGUAGACGUCUCGCCCCGCUUCCAUGUCAAACCGCAUGUCCUUAGCCACGAUGGCCAGCGAGUAGCUGCUGCGCAGCGCGUAGCCACCGGCGGCGGCGGUGCGCAGGGGGAGAGGCCGCAUGCUGCAGUAGGUGAGGCAGGACUCGGGCAGGCCCGGGAUCAUGGAGAGCGACUUGCCGACGACGUCGUAGACGAGGUAGCAGCUGCAGCCAUCCCGGAAGCACGAGGUGAGGGCGAUGAGGCCGUCGCCUGCCGCCUCGACGUAGGUGAGCGGCGGGUCGUCGUACGGUGACGCGUCGGGCAAGUUGGGGAUGGGCGGGACGGCGGCGCCGGGGGGGAAGCUGGCCGGCGGCGGCCUGGGCACGGCGGCGGCGGCGGAGAGGCGGAUGGAGAGCUCGGAGAGACCCGGGGGCUCCGCGAGGCGCGCCAGGAGCAGCAUGCCCUUCACCCUAGCGGCGUUCCUGGGGUAGCGUUCGUCACCGGGGUGGCACCCGUACGACUUCCAGUCCGCGCACUCCAUGGCCGCCCACUCCGACUCCUCCUCGACGGCUUCCUCCUCCGAUCGAACGAUGCGAUCCAGAAGAACAUAGGAAGGUAGUACAGUUCUUCCCAUGGCAGCCAUGGAAGGCGGAGGGGAUCGGAGUUUAGGUUAAGGAUUGGGGGAGGAGGCGGAGGGGAUUUUUCUUUUCUUUUCUUUUCUUUUUUUCUCUUUUUGAUUCGAAGGCUCCGGGGAUAUGACUUCUUCUGAGCGAACGAUACUCGCGUGUUGUAGGUAUAGAUGGCCAAAACAGGCGCGGGGCCGAUGACCCGGCCCACAGUACGGGGUUUCGGCUCGGCUCGACUGGUGUCAAGCCUGUGCUGAUCCGUCUGACCGUUGAGUUGUGUCUGGGCCUCUGCCUACGUAAGGUGGGUCGGCCCGGCACGAUACGGUUCAACGAUCAGGAGGCAAAACAGUUGAGGAUACAAAGUAGACUUAUUUCAACCAUAUAAAAUACUACAACCCAAAGAAGGAGCACGAUGGACUAUCUUAUCUUCUGGUCAGCCCGAGUCUUAUUAGGUCGUGCCUAGACCGUUGAUGCAGCCUAUGGGCAGGCACGACCCAACACGGUGUGUAGGUUGGGCCGUGCCGGCCCGACUGAUCUUGGGCUCAAGCCUAGUCGUGCCCGGGCCGGGCCAAGCUAGGACAGGUGGGCCAUUUGGCCAUCUAUAGUUUGGGGCUUGGAAGAGAAAGAUAACAUAGAUUCGUUAGUUGCAUGGCGACUCGGAUCGUGGCUUCAUCCAACGUCUGAUGUCUAGCACCAACAAACACAACGGGAGAAUGACCCCGGGACUCGGUGCACUAUGCUUUUAAUAUGGACUAUGGCUUAUUUCUUAAUAUCAUAUUUUUUAUGCAACAUUGUGGAUGACUAAUAGUUUCAUGUCAAGAAGAUGGGGGUGGGAAUCUCCUGGCCUGCUGCUGCUGCAUCAUGAUAUACGAUCACCCGUGAACCAGAGACGCACUGCAUCUGCUCACUAAAAGAGGUGUUUCGUCACUCCAUCGUGUUUUCCUUGUGGAGAUAAAGAGACGAUACGGGUGUGGGUGGAGAUGGGCCGAAAGCAACAUUUUAAGUCUAAUAAGCAAAAGCUAGAUGGAUAAAUGUCAUAUGAAUGAAAUUGAAUGGAUUGGGUGAAUAGACGAAAUCAAACGAUACAAUAAGUGUAAUUCUCAAAAGUAUAAUUUAUACUGUAAGAACCUAAUCUUAGAAAUAUUAUAAGAACUAGCAAAAAUGCCCAUGCGUUACAACGGGUGAAAAAAUUCUAAUAAUAAUAUACGUUUUUCAUGCAUAAUCAUGUUAAUGACAAUGUUUGUAUUUUGAUGAGCGGCUUGUUUUUUUAUAAACAGUGUUUUUCUUCUUGCGCGAUUUUCUCAAACUAUUUUUCAGAAAUGGCGCAUUUCUUUCUAAUAGUUUUUUCCUAGCAUGUUUUUUUUCUUUUUUUAAUGACGAUGAAAACCAUAUUUUUCUCCCCUUUUUUUUGCUUUUAUUUUCUCGUGUGUUUUUUGCAUGUUUUUUCUAACAAUCAUUUUCUCGCGCGCUUUUUUCUUGUCUUUUUGUUAAAUGUUCUUUUUUGCUUUUUUUUUCAAUACAUGACAAUAUGUGACGAAAUAAUAGCCGUGUAGUAGAUGGCAAAAAAUCGAUGGAUUCUAUCUGACUCAAGCGUCCAUCAAUUUAGUGUUUUUUCUGACAGUUUUUUCAGAGCGAUUUGUUUUUAAUAGAUGGUGCUUUUUUUUCUUGCGCGGUUUUUUCAAACUAUUUUUUUAGAAAUGGCGCGCUUUUUUACAGCUUUUUCCUCGCAUGUUUUUUUUAAAAAAAAAAUUUUACCGGCGAUGGAAAUAAUUAUUCUCGCGCGUUUUUUUGUUUUAUGGAAGAUGUAAAACCUUUUUAGCGUGUUUUUUUGCGCUUUUUUCUAACUUUUUUCUCACGCGUUUUUUGAACAGUUUUUAUUUUCUCAUGCAUUUUCUAUUUUUAGAUUAGAUUAGAGAUAGAGAAGAGAUAUAUACUGAUUAGAAAUCGGACUUUGUUUCGCCCUUUCCAUUUUUUUUCUCACGUGCAUUUUUUAUUUUAUACAAACCAGCUUCUUAUUUUUUACGAACCAUUUUUUUCGCCACUUCUUUAAGGGAAUCGGACAGACUUUUUUAGAUGUUUUUUUUGGAUUUUUUUCGCCUUUAAAGGAAUCACUUUUUUUCUCUUUUUUCUUUUUUAAAGGAAUUAGAUCUAGCGUUUUUUUUUCACCACUUUUUUUUGCCUUUUAUAGUAAUCGAUUUUUUUCCAUUCGGAUCUACGCUUUUUUUUCACUUAGGGAAACAGACUUUUGUUGUUAUUGUUUUUCUUUUUUUGUGCGGCUUUUAUUUUUCUUUUUAUGCACCUUUCUGCCUUUGUUCUCUCACUUUUAUCAUUUUUUUAACAAAAACAACCUCAAGAACCUUAUUGCAAAGAUUAUAGGGACUCAAAUGUAAAUAUAAAAAUUACAGGGACUCGAAUGCAAAAGUACAAAUCCAAAAAUUAAAAUUAUAUAAAAAUGGAAUGCUCUCGACCUGUAGAUUCCAUUUUUGCAAAUAAAUCUUCAAUCCGGCACAUCAAUUUUUUUUACCAAGAUGUAUAGGAUAUCAUGAUAUAGAUUGAAACGUGCCUGGGAUCUCGGACUCAAACCGAGAGGAAUAGUGCCUUUUUUUUUCUUUUUAAGGGGGAAUCGGAUAUAGAGUCGGACUUUUUUUUAAUGAGAGGAAUAUGAGUCAGGCCAGAGGAAUAGGAGUCGGACCUUUUUUUAUUAUUAUUUUUUCUCUAUUUUUGAGUCGGACUUUUUUUUUAUUUUUUCGCUAUUUUUUGAUGGGCGAAGGAAGCAUCUCUUAUUUUGGGAUCUCGGACUUAAACCGAGAGGAAUGGUGCCUUUUAUUUUUUCUUUUUAAGGGGGAAUCGGAUAUAGAGUCGGACUUUUUUUUUAUGAGAGGAAUAGGAGUCGGACCUUUUUUUAUUAUUUUUUCGCUAUCUUUGAGUCGGACCUUUUUUUUAAUUUUUUCGUUAUUUUUUUUGACGGACGAAGGAAGCAUCUCUUAUUUUUUUUAAAAGUAUAUAUAAGUAGAGAUAGAGAUUAAUUCAACUAAAGUAAAAAAAUCCCCAAUUUCAAAUAGACCGAAAUGCAUGUGUCAUGAAUUGUUCGCAUCUUUUGUGUUCUAUCUAGAUUCAAAUGAACAUUUGUAAAUUUUCCGCUGGAGUAGUUUUUACAUUUUAAACGAGUGUUAUUCGAACAACAGUUUUUAUGGCAAUUUUGCAAUUGCAAUGGCGAUUCAAAAAAAACGGCAAAUUACAAUUACCCCAAAUCAUAUACUCCUACCGUAAUUAACCAACAUAGAAAGGGGAAUUAAAUCAAAAGAGCCUUCGCGCUGCAGCCCGCGACGCCUCCGCCUCCGUCUCCGUCGCCACCACCGCCUCCGCCUCCAAAACCCUAACCCUAGCUCGCCGCCUUCGCGCGAGCUCUCCUCCAUGGAGAACCCCAGGCCACAGGCUCCUGCGGGGACCCCUCCCAUGGCUCCCCUCCCCGUGCCCCCGCCCAUCGCCCCCAUCCCUGCCCCGCCUCCGCGAGCCCCAGCACCCGCCCCGGCCGCCGCCGCCGCCGUCGCCUCGACCUCCGCGGCGGGAGGAGGCGGCGGGGGCGGCGGUGAGGCUGACUACGAGGUCUCCGAUGACCACCGCGCCGCGCGGGAGCGCCACGAGCGCGCGGUGCAGGAGCUGCUCCAGCGCCGCCGCGCCUUCGCCAUGGCCGUGCCCACCAACGACUCCGCCGUGCGGGCGCGCCUCCGCCGCCUCGGCGAGCCCGUCACGCUCUUCGGCGAGCGCGAGAUGGAGCGCCGGGACCGCCUCCGCGCUCUCAUGGUCCGCCUCGAGGCCGACGGCCACCUCGACCGCCUCCUCCGCGCGCAGGAGGAGGAGCAGGGCGCCGCGGGCGCCGAAGAGGAGGAGGAGCAGAUCCAGUACCCCUUCUUCACCGAGGGCACGCAGGAGCUUCUCAAGGCGCGCGUCGACAUCGCGCAGUACUCGCUGCCCCGAGCCAAGGCCAGGAUAGAGCGGGCCAAGCGCUGCCAUGACGACCCCGACGAGGACCCUGAGGCAGAGGCCAACCUUGUCGUUAAGCAGGCGGAGGAUUUCGUGCUUGAGUGCAGCGAGAUUGGAGAUGACCGCCCCCUCACCGGCUGCUCCUUCUCUCGAGAUUUUUCAAUGCUCGCUACAAGGUACGGCCACUUAAUCAAACGGAAUAGCGUAGGGUUUUAUCUUUGUAUGUCUUAAAAUAGUGGAAUGAUUUGCUCGCCGAAGUGUUGCAAUCGUCUUAUUAGGUCAAUUGUUAAUAUGGGUUUGGUAACUUGCUUAACUUGUCCCAGUUUAGCAUAUCAAUUGAGUAAAAGCUGUUCUAAGUUUGGGAUUGGCAAUGACUGAAAACACUCUGAAUUGCUGCUAUAUAUGGCAGAUGGCCGUGUUUCUUCACAUUUACACUGCUGCUGCAUAGAACCAUGCUGUUCUGCUUCAGCAUUUCUGUCAUGAUUGCUUUGCGUUGAACCAGGUGCAGCUAGCACUCGUUCAAAAUUGCAAUCACAAUAGUUCAUCAUGGCGUGAUAUCGGCUGGAUGAAUCAACAAAUUUUUUUAUGGCUGUAUGAUUUAUAGAACUAGCUAGCGGCUCAUGUUUGGGCAGCUAGAAUUUCCUUCCAUUGAGCAGAUGGAGGAUGGUAUCAUGCUUAUCGGCUAGCACUAUUUUGAGCAGGCUGGUCUUCACAUUUGCAGGAUUGCCUGUAACAGAACUAUUGCGGUGUUCCAAAAUACACUAGGUGGGUGGCAUGGUAGCAUCUGGCUCCUUCUCGCAUACAGGGUAUCUUCACAAUAGUGGAGUAUCCCUGAUGAUUUUCAAUUGUGAUGCUAAUUGAAUUUCAUAGGAGUUCAUAUACACAUUGUUUUUGGAAGGGAAGUUCAUGCACGCUUAGGCUGCAUUUGCUUCAACAUUUCAUCAGAUUGGCCAAUUUCCUAACCUGAAAAGACACUCGAUUAGAUCAUGAUUAAUUAAGUAUUACCUAUUAUAAACUUGAAAAUAGAUUUAUUUGAAUUUUUAAAUAAACUUCUAUAUAGAAAGUUUCUUUCAAAAAUCACACCGUUUAGCGGCUUGGGAAGCGUGCCCGCGUUAAUCUGGUGCUAGUAGCUGAAAAGAACAUAGCCUUAGUAAUUUUGGUAAACUAAUUGUUGAUGUCAUGUUGUUGGAUACCUUUUUCCUUAAUCUUGAGCCUCAAUUAGCUUAUGUUCUCUUGUUCUUGGCCUUAACUUAUGUUUUCUUGUUCUUGCUUCCUUGUCAGUAAAUAAUGACUUUAUUUCUGUGUUUUUUAGUUCAUGGAGUGGGAUGAUCAAAGUGUGGAGUAUGCCACAAGUAACUAAAAUUGCAACUCUGAAAGGUCACACAGAACGUGCAACUGAUGUUGCGUUUUCACCAGUUGACGACUGCUUAGCAACAGCUUCAGCUGAUAAAACUGCCAAACUAUGGAAGACCGAUGGGUCACUCUUAUUGUCCUUUGAUGGUCACCUCGAUCGGCUUGCUCGCCUUGCUUUUCAUCCAUCUGGAGGGUACCUUGCUACAGCUAGCUUUGACAAAACCUGGAGAUUGUGGGACGUUAGCACUGGAAAGGAACUUCUACUCCAAGAAGGGCACAGCAGAAGUGUCUAUGGAGUUAGCUUUCACCCAGAUGGUUCUUUAGCUGCAUCUUGUGGUCUUGAUGCGUAUGCUCGAGUUUGGGAUUUAAGAUCAGGAAGAUUGUGGGGCACACUCAUGGGACAUGUGAAGCC